rnacentral:lncRNA from 10 species
AACAGUUCUACCUGGAGCGGUUCAAGAGGGACAGGUUGGGGAGUUUGAAUCGUCUGUGCUCUUCAGUGGCUUUUCCCUGGGUGCAGAGCUGGAACGCACUCCCAUGUUGCCCUCCAGACCUGUGGGGCCGCUGCAAAAGAAAAUCUGCGUGAACUCAACGGCCUUGGAUGGAGCGGGCAGGAGCUGCUUCCAAGUUGAGACCCUUUGCAGAUUGGUGAGCAACUUUGCAAUGAGGAGCAGGAUCCUGAGAGAGAACAGAAGACCCUGACCCAUUGGUGCUCACUGAGCCUUGCCAACCUGUCAGAAAUGUUCGCCAUCGAGACUUGAAAGCAAAGAAAGUAAGGCCCAAGAUAGGAGCUGGGCUCUCAGGAUCCAUAUUAAACCAAAAUCAGAUGUUCAUGAUACUGAAGAUCUGUUCAUAUGCUGGGAAGACUGAGAUGUUGAUUUGAAUUUGAUAACAUAACGAAAAUGAAAACCAUGAUAAUAGCUCCUAUCUAGAUAGAGUGAAGAUCAUAUGGGACCAUCAAUAUAUAAUCACUACUAUGAAUUGUAGUCUGUGUAAUACAAUGUUAAUAUUGAGUGUCAACUUGAUUGGAUUGAAGGAUGCAAACUAUUGUUCCUGGUUGUGUCUGUGAGGGUGUUGCCAAAGGAAAUUACAUUUGAGUCAUUGAACUGGGACAGGCAGACCCACCUUCAAUCUGAGUGGGCACAAGCUAAUCAGCUGCCAGUGGGGCUAGAAUAAAAGCAGGCAGAAGAACGUGGAAGGACUAGACUUGCUGAGUCUUCCAGUCUUCAUCUUUCUUCUGUGCUGGAUGCUUCCUGACCUCGGACAUCAGCCUCCAAGUUCUUCAGCUUUUGGACUCUUGGACUUACACCAGUGGUUUGCCAGGGGCUCUCAGGCCUUUGGCCACAGACUGAAGGCUGCACUGUUGGCUUCCCUCCUUUUGAGCUUUUGGGACUCAGACUGAUGCACCACUGGCUUCCUUGCUUCUCAGCUUGCAGACAGUCUAUCGUGGGACUUUACCUUGUGAUCAUGUGAGUUAAUUCUCCUUAAUAAACUCCCUUUCAUAUAUACAUAUAUUCUAUUAGUUCUGUCCCUCUAGAGAACCCUAAUACAUACAAGAACCCAGGACAAUAUCUGAAUGAAAAAGAAAAAAAAAUCUACUUUGUGAUAAGGACAGAAAAGUAGUUUGGGAAUUAAUUUGAUUUCUGUUUUGUUCAUAAUUGUCUAUGUGGCAUAUAACCACUGCUCACUCCCAUACCCAGGCCACCUGAAGACCAGAGUGAAUGACUGGGAUUCUGCAGACAGACUUCCUCAUUUCAGGAUGCAUCAUAGAUGUGGAUCAACUUCAACCAUAGUAUUUUUUAUUGAUUUCUGAUUUUUGCAUUGUAAAUAUCUUAUGCUUUGGUUGAAUUGAUUAAGAAUAUUAAAUUACCAGCAAGGAUGCAUACAUAUUAAAUAAUAGGACAGACCAGAAUUUCUAGUUUCCUCAGCAACUUUCCAACUUAAACUUUCUUUGCGUGUCUUGAAUAUAGAUGCCCAGGUCUACAGAAAAAUUAGGAGAAGGUUUCAACAUUUGUAUAACCAAAAGGAAUAUGUAUUUCAUUUUCACAUACCAUGAAUAUGAUAUACACAUGAUUUCCAUGAUAUUGAUAGACACAUUAAUUGAACUUUAAAAUCCUGCUAUGGAUAAUGUUGGUAUACAUGUUUUGAAUACUCUGUGCUAGGGUCAAUGUGGUUCUUAUUUGUACUCUAAAAUCUUACGCGUGGCUUUCCCCCAAGGAUCUGUGAGUGAAAUUCAAAAUAAAAAAAUAAAAUAAAACACAUGCUAGAUAUUCUAAACGUGAAGGCUUAAAAUAAAUCCACAGGCUGUUUUUAACAUUGUAGAGUUUGGUCUAAGGUAAAAAUAAUCAGAGGUCUAGCUACAGAUCUACAGAGCUCUUUCUCCACACAACUUUCUCCUCGCUGUGCCCUUUGAUCUCUAGCCACUGCCACUGCCACUGUAGCCUCCUGGGACUCCCAGCUCCAAGUCCAUCUGGGAGACCACAGGGCUCUACCUUGGUACCACCUCUACCCUCAGCACUGUUGCCUAGAGACUCUCUCUCUAGGCCAGUAAGCUAGGGCAAUUAUUUUCCAUCAUUCAGGGGUCACUAUCCUUCAUUGCCUGGUGACUUUUGUUUUUUGUAGGAAGAGUG